CCUACGGGGGGCUGCAGUGGGGAAUAUUGCACAAUGGGCGCAAGCCUGAUGCAGCCAUGCCGCGUGUGUGAAGAAGGCCUUCGGGUUGUAAAGCACUUUCAGCGGGGAGGAAGGCGUUAAGGUUAAUAACCUUGGCGAUUGACGUUACCCGCAGAAGAAGCACCGGCUAACUCCGUGCCAGCAGCCGCGGUAAUACGGAGGGUGCAAGCGUUAAUCGGAAUUACUGGGCGUAAAGCGCACGCAGGCGGUCUGUCAAGUCGGAUGUGAAAUCCCCGGGCUCAACCUGGGAACUGCAUUCGAAACUGGCAGGCUAGAGUCUUGUAGAGGGGGGUAGAAUUCCAGGUGUAGUGGUGAAAUGCGUAGAGAUCUGGAGGAAUACCGGUGGCGAAGGCGGCCCCCUGGACAAAGACUGGCGCUCAGGUGCGAAAGCGUGGGGAGCAAACAGGAUUAGAUACCCUAGUAGUC
rnacentral:rRNA from 1 species